GAGAGGUCAUCGAAGGCAGGCCCUUCUGGGCACCGAAAUAUCCCGACUGCGCCUCUGCGAGAACCAGUACUCCUUCACUCCGUGGUCCAUGAAGACCCGUAAUGUUUUCCACAGAUACGGUAGUUACUUAAAUUACUAUCAGGGAAUCACACCCUCAAAAGUACGUGCGUCAAAGCAAAAAGUGAUUUCCAAGACUAAUGCCAAGGAGUUGAUGUCAAGAGUUGUGGAGCUGGUUAAUAGAACAUGCUUCCUUUAAGAGCAAAACAGAUGGACAAUAACAAGGGUAAGAAUUUUAGUGGAUAAGAACCAAAAAAAAGGAAAAGAAGAAAAGACCAAAUGAGAAGCUGAAACUGUCUCUCUCAGCCAAAUAAUAAAUAAAAAGCAAUAUCUUAAUCUGGGGUAAUAGUGGUGCUGGUGAUGGAGGAAACUGACGCCCC